AGCGAACGCUGGCGGCAGGCUUAACACAUGCAAGUCGAACGGUCCUUCGGGAUAGUGGCGGACGGGUGAGUAACACGUGGGAACGUACCCUUAGGUUCGGAACAACACAGGGAAACUUGUGCUAAUACCGGAUGAGCCCUUCGGGGGAAAGAUUUAUCGCCUUUGGAGCGGCCCGCGUCUGAUUAGCUUGUUGGUGAGGUAAUGGCUCACCAAGGCUACGAUCAGUAGCCGGUCUGAGAGGAUGGCCAGCCACACUGGGACUGAGACACGGCCCAGACUCCUACGGGAGGCAGCAGUGGGGAAUCUUGCGCAAUGGGCGAAAGCCUGACGCAGCCAUGCCGCGUGGAUGAUGAAGGUCUUAGGAUUGUAAAAUUCUUUCACCGGGGACGAUAAUGACGGUACCCGGAGAAGAAGCCCCGGCUAACUUCGUGCCAGCAGCCGCCGUAAAAC
rnacentral:rRNA from 1 species